rnacentral:rRNA from 1 species
CGGGACCUGUAGAGGGUGACCGGCCACACUGGGACUGAGACACGGCCCAGACUCCUACGGGAGGCAGCAGUGGGGAAUAUUGCACAAUGGGCGAAAGCCUGAUGCAGCGACGCCGCGUGAGGGAUGACGGCCUUCGGGUUGUAAACCUCUUUCAGCAGGGACGAAGCGCAAGUGACGGUACCUGCAGAAGAAGCACCGGCUAACUACGUGCCAGCAGCCGCGGUAAUACGUAGGGUGCAAGCGUUGUCCGGAUUACUGGGCGUAAAGAGUCGUAGGCGGUUUGUCGCGUCGUUUGUGAAAACCAGCAGCUCACUGCUGGUUGCAGGCGAUACGGGCAGACUUGAGUAUGCAGGGGAGAUGGAUUCCUGUGAGCGUGAAUGCGAGUUCAGGAGGACACGUGGCGAGCGGUCUCUGGCAUACUGACGUGAG